GCGAACGCUGGCGGCAGGCCUAAUACAUGCAAGUCGAGCGGCCCUUCGGGGCAGCGGCGGACGGGUGAGUAACGCGUGGGAAUAUGCCCUUUGGUACGGAACAACCCAGGGAAACUUGGGCUAAUACCGUAUGUGCCCUACGGGGGAAAGAUUUAUCGCCAUUGGAGUAGCCCGCGUUGGAUUAGCUAGUUGGUGAGGUAAAGGCUCACCAAGGCUACGAUCCAUAGCUGGUCUGAGAGGAUGAUCAGCCACACUGGGACUGAGACACGGCCCAGACUCCUACGGGAGGCAGCAGUAGGGAAUCUUGCGCAAUGGGCGAAAGCCUGACGCAGCCAUGCCGCGUGAAUGAUGAAGGUCUUAGGAUUGUAAAAUUCUUUCACCGGGGAAGAUAAUGACGGUACCCGGAGAAGAAGCCCCGGCUAACUUCGU
rnacentral:rRNA from 1 species